rnacentral:tRNA from 1 species
GGGCGAAUAGCGCAGUUGGUUCAGAGCGUCUGCCUUACAAGCAGAAGGUCGGGGGUCCGAAUCCCUCAUCGCCCA